rnacentral:rRNA from 1 species
GCAUAUCAAUAAGCGGAGGAAAAGAAACUAACAAGGAUUCCCCUAGUAACUGCGAGUGAAGCGGGAAAAGCUCAAAUUUAAAAUCUGGCGGUCUCUGGCUGUCCGAGUUGUAAUCUAGAGAAGUGUUGCCCGCGCUGGACCGUGUACAAGUCUCCUGGAAUGGAGCGUCAUAGAGGGUGAGAAUCCCGUCUUUGACACGGACUACCAGGGCUUUGUGGUACGCUCUCAAAGAGUCGAGUUGUUUGGGAAUGCAGCUCAAAAUGGGUGGUAAAUUCCAUCUAAAGCUAAAUAUUGGCGAGAGACCGAUAGCGAACAAGUACCGUGAGGGAAAGAUGAAAAGAACUUUGGAAAGAGAGUUAAACAGUACGUGAAAUUGCUGAAAGGGAAACGCUUGAAGUCAGUCGCGUUGGCCGGGGAUCAGCCUCGCUCUUUUGCGUGGUGUACUUUCCGGUCGACGGGUCAGCAUCAAUUUUGAUCGCUGGAAAAAGGCCUGAGGAAUGUGGCAGCUCCGGCUGUGUUAUAGCUUCUGGUCACAUACAGCGGUUGGGAUUGAGGAACUCAGCACGCCGCAAGGCCGGGUUUCGACCACGUUCGUGCUUAGGAUGCUGGCAUAAUGGCUUUAAGCGACCCGUCUUGAAACACGGACCAAGGAGUCUAACAUGCCUGCGAGUGUUUGGGUGGAAAACCCGAGCGCGUAAUGAAAGUGAAAGUUGAGAUCCCUGUCGCGGGGAGCAUCGACGCCCGGACCAGAACUUUUGGGACGGAUCCGCGGUAGAGCAUGUAUGUUGGGACCCGAAAGAUGGUGAACUAUGCCUGAAUAGGGUGAAGCCAGAGGAAACUGCUGGUGGAGGCUCGUAGCGAUUCUGACGUGCAAAUCGAUCGUCAAAUUUGGGUAUAGGGGCGAAAGACUAAUCGAACCAUCUAGUAGCUGGUUCCUGCCGA